rnacentral:rRNA from 1 species
UUGCGCAAUGGGCGAAAGCCUGACGCAGCGACGCCGCGUGGGGGAUGAAGGUCUUCGGAUUGUAAACCCCUUUCGGGAGGGAAGAUGGGAAUGGGGUAACCCAUUUGGACGGUACCUCCAGAAGCAGCCACGGCUAACUUCGUGCCAGCAGCCGCGGUAAUACGAAGGUGGCAAGCGUUGUUCGGAUUUACUGGGCGUACAGGGAGCGUAGGCGGUUCGGUAAGCCCUCUGUGAAAUCUCCAGGCUUAACCUGGAACAGUCGGAGGGGACUGCUGGGCUAGAGGACGGGAGAGGAGCGCGGAAUUCCCGGUGUAGCGGUGAAAUGCGUAGAGAUCGGGAGGAAGGCCGGUGGCGAAGGCGGCGCUCUGGAACGUUUCUGACGCUGAGGCUCGAAAGCGUGGGGAGCAAACAGGAUUAGAUACCCUGGUAGUCCACGCCUUAAACUAUGAAUACUAAGUGUCGGCGGUUUACCGCCGGUGCCGCAGCUAACGCAUUGAGUAUUCCGCCUGGGAAGUACGGCCGCAAGGUUG